AAGGAUCAUUAUCGUAAUAAAUUAAAAAAAAAUGUGUGAGGCGUGCGAGGGCUGUCGCUGACUUUCAAGUCGUGCACGCCGGAGUGUGUCCUCUCACAUUAAAUCCAUCUCACCCUUUUGUGCACCACCGCGUGGGCACCCUUUGGGAUCGAACCGAUCCAGGAGGGGGCUUGCGUUUUCACACAAACCCCUUUUAAAAUGUGUAGAAUGACCCCAUUUUUGCGAUAACACGCAAUCAAUACAACUUUCAACAACGGAUCUCUUGGCUCUCGCAUCGAUGAAGAACGCAGCGAAAUGCGAUACGUAAUGUGAAUUGCAGAAUUCAGUGAAUCAUCGAAUCUUUGAACGCACCUUGCGCCCCUUGGUAUUCCGAGGGGCACACCCGUUUGAGUGUCGUGAAAAUCUCAACCUUCUCGGUUUCUCCUGGACACCAAAGGAGGCUUGGACUUUGGAGGCCUUUGCCGGCGUCUCUCUCUUUUGAGAGCCGGCUCCUCUUAAAUGAAUUAGCGGGGUCCUCUUUGCCGAUCCUCGACAUGUGAUAAGAUGUUUCCAUGACUUGGUUUCUGGCUCUGUCGCCUUUGGGACCCGCUUCUAACCGUCUCGACGAGACGACGCUUGGGCGUGUCUCCCUUCUCGGGAGACUCUCUCAACCCCACGAACCCUUGACCUCAAAUCGGGUGAGACUACCCGCUGAACUUAAG
rnacentral:rRNA from 1 species